GAUGAACGCUAGCUACAGGCUUAACACAUGCAAGUCGAGGGGCAGCAUGGUCUUAGCUUGCUAAGGCCGAUGGCGACCGGCGCACGGGUGAGUAACGCGUAUGCAACUUACCUAUCAGAGGGGGAUAACCCGGCGAAAGUCGGACUAAUACCGCAUGAAGCAGGGGCCCCGCAUGGGGAUAUUUGCUAAAGAUUCAUCGCUGAUAGAUAGGCAUGCGUUCCAUUAGAUAGUAGGCGGGGUAACGGCCCACCUAGUCUUCGAUGGAUAGGGGUUCUGAGAGGAAGGUCCCCCACAUUGGAACUGAGACACGGUCCAAACUCCUACGGGAGGCAGCAGUGAGGAAUAUUGGUCAAUGGGCGAGAGCCUGAACCAGCCAAGUAGCGUGAAGGAUGACUGCCCUAUGGGUUGUAAACUUCUUUUAUAAAGGAAUAAAGUCGGGUAUGCAUACCCGUUUGCAUGUACUUUAUGAAUAAGGAUCGGCUAACUCCGUGCCAGCAGCCGCGGUAAUACGGAGGAUCCGAGCGUUAUCCGGAUUUAUUGGGUUUAAAGGGAGCGUAGAUGGAUGUUUAAGUCAGUUGUGAGAGUUUGCGGCUCAACCGUAAAAUUGCAGUUGAUACUGGAUAUCUUGAGUGCAGUUGAGGCAGGCGGAAUUCGUGGUGUAGCGGUGAAAUGCUUAGAUAUCACGAAGAACUCCGAUUGCGAAGGCAGCCUGCUAAGCUGCAACUGACAUUGAGGCUCGAAAGUGUGGGUAUCAAACAGG
rnacentral:rRNA from 1 species